GUUCAUUUCGGUAUUACAAAAUAUUUAUAUUAUUAGCGGGCCCGUAAAACCGAAAUUGAAUCAUCAAAACAAAGCAAAUUAUCGUCAGUCUUUAAUAGCUUCGGAUAGUUAGGCUUGCCGAGCCCCGUCAACGAAAGACACGAAAAGAAUCGCCUCUCGUAAUCCUCUGGUCAAAAAUGAUCCGAGCAUAUAGUCGAAGUCUAGCUUUGACGGCACAAACAAACGUUUUGCGGAUAUAAAACCAACCCAUACUUUUCUUCGUCUUUUAGCUUCCGCGCGUUCGUUAUUGAAGUAUGGAAUAUUGUGUAAACUUAUUCCAUCUUUUAAACAUGGUUUAUUGGUACAGUUAGCUGCAACAUAGUAAAAAGGCAUAUAUUUUUUUUAUCACAAAUCUAGUAUAUUUGUAUAUGGUCUUUAUAUGGACUAUAUGCGCCAAGAGUUAGUACCAGUCGAAUAAAUUAUAGAAUACCCCGACUCACUUGCGUGACGUAACAAAAAUCGCUCGUUCCAGUUUCCUUCGAACACGGACGCGUGCCAACAAAAAGCCCACAUUUUGCGUGUUCAAACGGCUCUAAAAUUUUUUCGUUUCAAUGAAAUAAAAAAAUUCUUUCACCAAAACACUCCACAUAAUGUGUACUUUCACUACACAAAAAAUCAAUUUUUG